CGCUGCUACACAUGCUAGUCGACGGUACACGGUCCGCCUGCCUCCUAGCUGACGACUGGCGCACGGUUGAUUAAAGCGUGCCCAUCUGCCUGAUAUAAGCCCGCAAUUCCGGAUUCUCACCCCAUUCCACCUAUGCGUCACAGACGAAAACCGGGGACCUUCCGGCCUGGUGCCUUCCGAUGUGCCAUUAUGUGAUUAGCUGGUUGGUAGGGGUACCGGCCCCCUAUGCGACGAUCCCUAGCUGGUCUGACAGGAUGAUCUGCCACUCUGGCACUGACACACGGCCCACACUCCUACGGGAGGCAGCAAUUGGGGGAAUAUUGGACCAUGGGUGCAGCCCUGAUGCCGCCAUGCCGCGUGUGUGAAUAAGGCCUUCGGGUUGUUUAGUACUUUCGCGGGGAGGAGGGCGGUACGUUAAUACCUUGGCCCUUUGACGUUACCCGCAAAAGAAUCACCGGCUAACUCCGUGCCCGCACCUACGGUAA
rnacentral:rRNA from 1 species